ensembl:lncRNA novel transcript
AUGUUUCUGAAGAUAGAUACGUAGCUGGGUCUUCUGUCUCCCUCAUCUGUGUUGACGGGACCCCCUCUGGAUCACCAGGCAUGGUGCCUGCUCCCCGCACCAUCAUGAAGUGCCCGGCUCAGCAUCAGCCCCAGCAAAUGGCAGCCCUGUGUCUAGGGAGUGGGGAGGGAGGAGAAAUCAGGGAGUGAAUGCCCAAACCAAGAACGGUGCCACGCCCCUGUACCUGGCGUGCCAGGAGGGCCACCUGGAGGUGACGCAGUACCUGGUGCAGGAAUGCGGCGCGGACCCGCACGCGCGCGCCCACGACGGCAUGACCCCACUGCACGCCGCGGCGCAGAUGGGCCACAGCCCGGUCAUCGUGUGGUUGGUGAGCUGCACCGACGUGAGCCUGUCGGAGCAGGACAAAGACGGCGCCACCGCCACGCACUUCGCGGCGAGCCGCGGCCACAGCAAGGUGCUCAGCUGGCUGCUGCUGCACGGCGGGGAGAUCUCGGCUGACCUGUGGGGCGGGACCGCGCUGUACGACGCCGCCGAGAACGGGGAGCUAGAGGUCAGCGCGGGCCCGGGGUGGGGGCGCGCGCCCUCUGCUGGCACCGCGCUCUCCGCACGGCCCUGCCCGGGCGCGGGGGUCCCAGCUCGUGGCCGCGGCCGGGUCCUCACUGCGUGCCCCCACAGUGCUGCCAGAUCCUGGUAGUGAACGGCGCGGAGCUGGAAGUCCGCGACCGCGACGGGUACGCGGCCGCUGACCUGUCGGACUUCAACGGCCACAGCCACUGCACCCACUGCCUGCGCACGGUGGAGAACCUGGUACGAUCCCUGCGCUGCUCCUGUUGCAUUCUCUCUUCUCGCCCCUCCACCCCAGUGGUGGGUGUCGUCACCCCUUUUACCAAGGAGGAAGCUGAGGUUCAGAGACGUGAAGCCCGCUACCCCACACGACCUGUCAGCCCAGAACCACUGCCUGCUGGGGACUGAGGGAGUAGAGGCACAAAGGUUAACGGAAAGAGGACAGGGAAGAACAGGGUCACCCCAAGGGGUAAGGCUGGAGAAAUCACAAGACAGGCCCCAUUGGGAACAGGCAGGCUCAUUCACCUACCCAUAGACAUUAGCUUGGGUAUAACUCACAGCCACCCUCUGCAGAAGAGAGUGUAAGUGUCCCGUUCCACAUAUGGGU